GUGAAAGACCCGAGCUAACAUGGGGUUAGCUCGUAAAACUACAAUAAAGCCUCAUGCAGUUUGCAUCAAGCUUUCGCCUCCAUUCUGUGUUUGGGGUGGCCGCCGUCCUGGGCUAAGAUUCUGGAAGCCUCAGCUUUCUGAGGGUCUAACAACAGGGCCCAUGUGGAGGCUGAAUGUGACUGCAGGCUGAUGUAACAACUUGCCUGAGAAGUGAUCAGAUUUGGAACUGAAUUGUGGCCAAGAGGGUGAAGAAAGUGACCUCCUGCUCUGGAAUCAGUACCAAUGAUGUCCUAAAUAGUGUUCCACCAAAUGCUUUCACUAUUGGCUAUCCAUAUACCAAGAAUGAGGCUGUGUUAAGCACG
rnacentral:lncRNA from 1 species